UACGUAGGGUGCAAGCGUUGUCCGGAAUUAUUGGGCGUAAAGAGCUUGUAGGCGGUUUGUCGCGUCUGCUGUGAAAUUUCGGGGCUCAACCCCGAACUUGCAGUGGGUACGGGCAGACUAGAGUGUGGUAGGGGAGACUGGAAUUCCUGGUGUAGCGGUGAAAUGCGCAGAUAUCAGGAGGAACACCGAUGGCGAAGGCAGGUCUGCUGGGCCAAUAACUGACGCUGAGAAGCGAAAGCAUGGGGAGCGAACAGG
rnacentral:rRNA from 1 species